rnacentral:tRNA from 1 species
GGGCGGGGCUCAGUGGCAGAGCACUUGCCUAGCAUGUGUGAGGCCCUGGGUUCCAUCCCCAGCACCACUUA